GAUGAAGAACGUAGCGAAAUGCGAUAAGUAAUGUGAAUUGCAGAAUUCAGUGAAUCAUCGAAUCUUUGAACGCAUCUUGCGCUCCUUGGUAUUCUGAGGAGCAUGCCUGUUUGAGUGUCAUUAAAUUCUCAACUACACUGACUUUGAAUUGGUGUGGCUUGGAUUUGGGGGGAAAAUUGUUGUGGGCUUUUUGUAUAGUCUGCUCCCCUGAAAUUGAUUAGCGGUACCUUUGUGGAACUGUCUACAGGUGUGAUAAUUAUCUACAUCUUAGACAUCUGCUGGAAUGCUGCUUUCUAAACCUUACUUGUAUUGACAAUCUUGACCUCAAAUCAGGUAGGACUACCCGCUGAACUUAGGCAUAUCAAUAAGCGGAGGA
rnacentral:misc_RNA from 1 species